UACGUAGGGUGCAAGCGUUAAUCGGAAUUACUGGGCGUAAAGCGUGCGCAGGCGGUUUUGUAAGUUUGUCGUGAAAUCCCCGGGCUCAACCUGGGAAUGGCGAUGAAGACUGCAAGGCUAGAAUCUGGCAGAGGGGGGUAGAAUUCCACGUGUAGCGGUGAAAUGCGUAGAUAUGCGGAGGAACACCGAUGGCGAAGGCAAUCCCCUGGGCCUGCACUGACGCUUCAUGCACGAAAGCGUGGGGAGCAAACAGG
rnacentral:rRNA from 1 species